rnacentral:rRNA from 1 species
AUUGAACGCUGGCGGCAGGCCUAACACAUGCAAGUCGAACGAGUGGCGGACGGGUGAGUAAUGUCUGGGAAACUGCCUGAUGGAGGGGGAUAACUACUGGAAACGGUAGCUAAUACCGCAUACCAUCAGAUGUGCCCAGAUGGGAUUAGCUAGGUGGUGGGGUAACGGCUCACCAAGGCGACGAUCCCUAGCUGGUCUGAGAGGAUGACCAGCCACACUGGAACGGAGAACCGUUCCAGACUCCUACGGGAGGCAGCAGUGGGGAAUAUUGCACAAUGGGGGCAAGCCUGUUGCAGCCGUGCGGCUUGUAUGAGGAAGGCGUUCGGGUUGUAAAGUACUUUCAGCGUGGAGGCGUUACCCGCAGAAGAAGCACCGGCUAACUCCGUGCCAGCAGCCGCGGUAAUUC